rnacentral:rRNA from 1 species
UACAGAGACUGCAAGCGUUAUUCGGAUUCACUGGGCGUAAAGGGUGCGCAGGCGGUUGGGUGUGUCAGAUGUGAAAUCCCGAGGCUCAACCUCGGAACUGCGUCUGAAACUACUCGACUAGAGUAUUGGAGAGGGUACGGAAUUCACGGUGUAGCAGUGAAAUGCGUAGAUAUCGGGAGGAACACCAGUGGCGAAGGCGGCUUCCCUGGCCUGUUCUUGACGCUGAGGCGCGAAAGCUAGGGGGAGCAAACG